GUGCUCACUUCGACGGCACAUACAGUAAAAUUGGAAUGGUACAGAGAAGGUUAGCAUGGCCCCUGCACAAGGAUGGCAUACAGAUCCCUAAAGCACCCCCACCACUCUUU
ensembl:snRNA LOC120094404 U6 spliceosomal RNA